UAUGGAUUCACGACGGUCGGCGGCACCGGACGAGCGGCGGAGCAAAGGGAGAAGAAUAGGAGGAGUGCUAAAAGAAUAAAGGUCGUGGCUUUAGUCAUUUUUUUCUUUUCUAAGGCUCUGUUUGGUUGUUGAGUUAUUCACAAGUUUCAGAAAUGGUGUCAAUAUAUAUAUAUAUAUAUAGAGAGAGAGAGAUAUCUAGAGGGAGAUGAUAAGGUAGAAAGGAAUAGUUGUAAAAUGUGCCAGUGUGAAUCCAUAAGAGCAAAAAGGGGUGCUUUUUUAUUUAAUGCAUAUAUGUAGAGGGGAAGCAUUUAAUAUUGCAAUUAAUAUUUUUUGACGAAUAUUUAUUUAUGGAAAGAAAAUGAUGGUGGGAAAAGUAAUAGCCACGGGUGUAAAUGAGUUG
rnacentral:lncRNA from 1 species